AUUUGAUGUCACGUUCAACAGCAAAUGAUAGAGAGUUUGGGUUAUGUUAAUAGGACACGUGUGGCUUAUAGCUUUGGUUGUGAUCAUAUCCAAUACUUAAAGAUUUUACUAUAGUUACAGCCACCGACUAGCAACUAUCACUUUGAAGAUGGACUCUCCGAAACGUCACAACUCAACUGUAAACAUGAAUAAAUCCUUAAGAACUUCAAGCAACAAGACAAUCCAUGAAAGCUUUAACACAUUCAUAGCUUUUACUAUUCCAACAAAAUUCACAUGUCUUCAUAACUAAUAAAUGAACAAAAUAAAACUAAGAGAGUGCCCUCAUUAAAUUGAUAAUGGAAGUAGUUUCGGCAAAAUAAUGAUGUUUAAAUCUCACAAAAUUUAAGUAAUAAGUAUUUACUAAAAAUU